AUUGAACGCUGGCGGCAUGCUUUACACAUGCAAGUCGAACGGCAGCGGGGUAGUGCUUGCACUACUGUCCGGCGAGUGGCGAACGGGUGAGUAAUAUACCGGAACGUACCGAGUAAUGGGGGAUAACCAAUCGAAAGAUUGGCUAAUACCGCAUACGUCCUGAGGGAGAAAGCGGGGGAUCGCAAGACCUCGCGUUAUUCGAGCGGCCGAUAACUGAUUAGCUAGUUGGUGGGGUAAAGGCCUACCAAGGCGACGAUCAGUAGCGGGUCUGAGAGGACGAUCCGCCACACUGGGACUGAGACACGGCCCAGACUCCUACGGGAGGCAGCAGUGGGGAAUUUUGGACAAUGGGGGCAACCCUGAUCCAGCCAUGCCGCGUGUAUGAAGAAGGCCUUCGGGUUGUAAAGUACUUUUGUUAGGGAAGAAAAGGGAAGUGCUAAUACCACUUUUUGCUGACGGUACCUAAAGAAUAAGCACCGGCUAACUACGUGCCAGCAGCCGCGGUAAUACGUAGGGUGCGAGCGUUAAUCGGAAUUACUGGGCGUAAAGCGAGCGCAGACGGUUAUUUAAGCAGGAUGUGAAAUCCCCGGGCUUAACCUGGGAACUGCGUUCUGAACUGGAUAGCUAGAGUGUGUCAGAGGGGGGUAGAAUUCCACGUGUAGCAGUGAAAUGCGUAGAGAUGUGGAGGAAUACCGAUGGCGAAGGCAGCCCCCUGGGAUAACACUGACGUUCAUGCUCGAAAGCGUGGGUAGCAAACAGG
rnacentral:rRNA from 1 species